rnacentral:misc_RNA from 1 species
AAGUCGUAACAAGGUUUCCGUAGGUGAACCUGCGGAAGGAUCAUUAUCGAGUUUGACAGGGGUUGUAGCUGGCUCUCCGGAGCAUGUGCUCACCUUGUUCAUCCACUCUACACCUGUGCACUUUUUGUGGGUUGGGGUUUACACCCUGGCCUGCGUCUUCACACAAACAAAUAUGUAUCAGAAUGUAUACCGCGUCUAACGCAUCUAAUACAACUUUCAACAACGGAUCUCUUGGCUCUC